UUUUUUUUACAGUUUACAUAAGUUGAGAAAUCAAAGUUUUACGAUGUCGAUCAUUAUCUUAUCAUUGAUGCCGGACGACAACUAAUAGAAACGCACUUAUGGGAACUUGGGGAACAUCAGAAACGCCCAAGCUUGUCUGGCAAAACACUCGUUGACAUUUCUCGGACGCCCUGCCAUUUUUAUCGCGAAAAUCUCGGCAUUUUUCUGACUUAUAAAUAUCUGUCAAACUGAAUAUUAAGUGACACUUAAAUGUGAUUGGCUUUCACCUGACAGCUUUGGUGUCAUACACAUUGUUAAUUAACACCAAUAACCUGUACUUGAUGUUAUCAGAGACAUAUAAAAAUAAAAUUGAAAAUGGAAAUGGGGAAUGUGUCAAAGAGACAACAACCCGACCACAGAAACAAAACACUUACAUAUUUUCAACAACAUAAUAUAUGGUUCAUACAAUUUCCCGUUUUAACUAGACUGGGAUCCCAGCUUCAGACAGUCAUCCCGAUUGGGAUCCCGGCUUUAAACAGUUCCGAUUGGGAUCCCAGCUUCAGACAGUUACCCCGAUUGGGAUCCCAGUGUCCGAUAUUUAUCCCGUUUCAUCUUGACUGGAAUCCCGGCUUCAGACAGUUAUCCCGAAUGGGAUCCCAGUUUCAGAUAUUUAUCCCGAAUGGGAUCCCGCCUCCAGAUGCUUAUCCCGGCUUAUCCCGACAAUUUCACCGGGAUUGCAUUGGGAUCCCGAUGGAUCCCGUUUUCGU
rnacentral:lncRNA from 1 species